rnacentral:tRNA from 1 species
GCAUCGGUAGCCAAGUUGGUAAGGCGUCAGUCUGCAAAAUUGAAAAUCGCGGGUUCAAUUCCCGCCCGAUGCU